AUUGAACGCUGGCGGAAUGCUUUACACAUGCAAGUCGAACGGCAGCACGGACUUCGGUCUGGUGGCGAGUGGCGAACGGGUGAGUAAUGUAUCGGAACGUGCCCGGUCGUGGGGGAUAACGUAGUGAAAAUUACGCUAAUACCGCAUACGAUCUAUGGAUGAAAGCGGGGAUCGCAAGACCUCGCGCGAUUGGAGCGGCCGAUAUCAGAUUAGGUAGUUGGUGGGGUAAAGGCCCACCAAGCCAACGAUCUGUAGCUGGUCUGAGAGGACGACAAGCCACACUGGAACUGAGACACGGUCCAGACUCCGACGGGAGGCAGCAGUGGGGAAUUUUGGACAAUGGGCGAAAGCCUGAUCCAGCCAUUCCGCGUGCAGGAUGAAGGCCCUCGGGUUGUAAACUGCUUUUGUACAGAACGAAAAGGUUUCUACUAAUACUAGGAGCUCAUGACGGUACUGUAAGAAUAAGCACCGGCUAACUACGUGCCAGCCGCCGCAGUAA
rnacentral:rRNA from 1 species